rnacentral:sRNA from 1 species
CUGUAAUUUGGACUUUGAUUGCUGUAAUUUCAUUCAAAUCCUUAUAUCUCCUUCAGUUCUGCAUACUAUGCUUGGCGCUUGAGGUAUGUGGUAGCCAGAGGCCGAUUCUAUUAAGUGUACGCUGCCAGCGGCGCGCAUGCAUCAAGAAAAUCGGUAAGUAACGAUGAUUCCAUUCUCACCCCUUUCGCGCCCACUGAGUCCGUUUUUAUAAUUCACAGAGCACUCGAAAUCAUCUCCAAACCAUCCUAAUUUCCAACGACACCUCCGUGACACAUAGGAAGACCCACUGGAAGCAAAAGAAUUGGACAGGAAGGCGUCAUAUCCGCAAAAUUGACAUCUGAAAAACAAAUUCUCUUUAUCACCUUUCCUCAUUCCGCCGUUUUGUGGAUCUUCAUCCAAAUCAUCUCCAUACCCAGCUCAAACGCCUAUAAGACCUCUUUGAUACCUUGAUAAUCACUUUGGUGGCGAAGGACUUGCACGAUAUCAGUUAACCUGCGGAAAUUACGUCUGGGAAUCGAACCCCCCUAUUUCCUCUUUCCUCCGAAGGCUAUAACGUUCGCUAUAUGAUAUUUGCUGGAGCCAGGAUGGUUUUCGGCCUCCAUAAGCCAGCGUUUGUCCAAUACAGCUGUUAUAAGGUGACCAAAUUUUUAUCUACUCACUCACGAAGCCGCUUCACGCUACUAAGUGCCAUUUCGUCUUGCUCCACAACCUGCUCAGGUUAUGAGAUGCCCUACCUAUGAACAAACCCAUGAUGCAAAUGGCUUGAAGCAUUAUAUUACAUAUUACAUGUCCCAAAAUUUGGAACCGCAUGCCUCAUUGCUACGACUACCACCAGUCAAGGUAAUUUGAGGACGAUGGAAAGUGCUGCAGAAGAUAACAGCAUUUCUAAGAAGUAUCCAUUUGCUGUAUAUGAAUCAAUCUCCAAAUCAUGGGCAAAAACGGUCCCACAGCGGCAGACUCCUCUCUGAUUAGCGCGCAGCUAUCACAGAAAUCAAUCCAGUAUUAUUCCCCCCCUUCAGUUCCUCCAAUACCUCCUCUCGGGCUAUAAUUACGAGAAAGGCAAGCUCUACUUCUCAGCCACUGAAAUAUGAGUCAGCCAACCAGACUCGUGACCUUCCGACGCGCUGUACCAUUCUCCAUCUUAUCUGAUAAUGAUAGGUCCAAAUCUUUCCCACCAUAAAGGUGGUCGACAUUCAGUUGAUUUUAUUACCGCUAAAUCUUAGUCGAAGCAUUGAAAAGACA